UGGGAAACUUCAGGUCAUGCAUUUUGCCUC
rnacentral:piRNA from 1 species